AGAGUUUGAUCAUGGCUCAGAUUGAACGUUGGCGGCAGGCUUUAUACAUGCAAGUCGAACGGUAACAGCGGAAGCUUGCUUCCGGCUGACGAGUGGCGGACGGGUGAGUAACGCGUAGGAAUCUACCCUGAAGUGGGGGAUAACCCGGGGAAACUCGGGCUAAUACCGCAUAUGUCCUUCGGGACAAAGGGGGCCUCUCCAUGGAAGCUCCCGCUUUGGGAGGAGCCUGCGUCGGAUUAGCUUGUUGGUAGGGUAAUGGCCUACCAAGGCGACGAUCCGUAGCUGGUCUGAGAGGACGGCCAGCCACACUGGAACUGAGACACGGUCCAGACUUCUACGGAAGGCAGCAGUAAGGAAUUUUGGACAAUGGGCGAAAGCCUGAUCCAGCCAUGCCGCGUGUGUGAAGAAGGCCUUAGGGUUGUAAAGCACUUUCAGAGGCGAAGAAAAUCUCGGGGUUAAUACCUCCGAGCCUUGACGUUAACCUCACAAGAAGCACCGGCUAACUCCGUGCCAGCAGCCGCGGUGAUACGGAGGGUGCGAACGUUAAUCGGAAUUACUGGGCGUAAAGCGCGCGUAGGCGGUUUGUUAAGUCUCAUGUGAAAUCUCCCGGCUCAACCGGGAGGGGUCAUGGGAAACUGGCGGACUGGGAGUGCAGCAGAGGGGAGUGGAAUUCCCGGAGUAGUGGUGGAAUGCGUAGAUACCGGGAGGAACACCAGAGGCGAAGGCGACUCCCUGGGCUGUGACUGACGCUGAGGCGCGAAAGCGUGGGUAGCAAACCGGAUUAGAUACCCGGGUAGUCCACGCCCUAAACGAUGGAUACUAGGCAUGGGGGGUAUCGACCCCCUCCGUGCCGCAGCUAACGCAAUAAGUAUCCCGCCUGAGUAGUACGGCCGCAAGGCUAAAACUUAAAGGAAUUGACGGGGACCCGCACAAGCAGCGGAUCGUGUGGUUUAAUUCGAUGAUAAGCGAAGAACCUUACCAGGGCUUGACAUACGCCUGACCGGCUGUGAAAGCAGCCUUUCCUUCGGGACAGGUGUACAGAUGUUGCAUGGCUGUCGUCAGCUCGUGUCGUGAGAUGUUGGGUUAAGUCCCGCAACGAGCGCAACCCCUGUCGCUAGUUAGGAUGUCUAGCGAGACUGCCCCUACUGGGGUGAGGAAGGUGGGGUCGAGGUCAAGUCAUCAUGGCUCUUACGUCCUGGGCUACACACACGAUACAAUGGUUGGGACAGACGGUAGCGAUGGCGCGAGCCGGAGCCAAUCCCACAAACCCGGCCCCAGUUGGAAUUGCAGGCUGAAACCCGCCUGCAUGAACGCGGAGUUGCUAGUAACCGCAGGUCAGCACACUGCGGUGAAUACGUUCUCGGGUCUUGUACACACCGCCCGU
rnacentral:rRNA from 1 species